rnacentral:rRNA from 1 species
UGAGGGAUAUUGGUCAAUGGGCGCAAGCCUGAACCAGUGACGCCGCGUGGGUGAAGAAGGUCUUCGGAUCGUAAAGCCCUUUUCCCACUGAAGAGGAAGGACGGUAGGUGGGGAAGAAGUCUCGGCUAACUACGUGCCAGCAGCCGCGGUAAAACGUAGGAGACAAGCGUUAUCCGGAGUUACUGGGCGUAAAGGGCGUGCAGGUGGCGUCUUAAGUCUGUUGUGAAAGCGCCUGGCUUAACCGGGCGAGGCCAAUGGAGACUGAGAGGCUGGAGGACGGCGGAGGGGUGUGGAAUUCCGGGUGUAGUGGUGAAAUGCGUAGAGAUCCGGAGGAACACCAGAGGCGAAGGCGGCACUCUAAGCCGUACCUGACACUGAGACGCGACAGCACGGGGAGCAAACG